rnacentral:lncRNA from 1 species
CCCGAUAAUUUCUCUCUUUCAUUUAAAUAAAAUCCAAACACAUCUGGAUCACCACUCUCCCCAUUUCGACAUCCAAACCCUGGCGGCAGCCCGAAGGUUCUCACUCUCCCACCACCCAGACACCCAAACACUAGUGGUGGCCCGAUGGAUCCCCACUCUUUCCCCCACCCCCAACACCCAAAUCCUAGCGACAGCUUGAGGGGGUCUUGGCGGUGGAUAUAGAGGUUGUUGACA